rnacentral:rRNA from 1 species
CCUACGGGGGGCAGCAGUAGGGAAUCUUUCACAAUGGGCGAAAGCCUGAUGGAGCAACGCCGCGUGCAGGAUGACGGCCUUCGGGUUGUAAACUGCUUUUAUAAGCGAGAUAUAUGAAGGUAACUUAUGAAUAAGGAUCGGCUAACUACGUGCCAGCAGCCGCGGUCAUACGUAGGAGCCGAGCGUUAUACGGAGUGACUGGGUGUUAAAAGUUGCGUAGGUGGCAUAAUAAGUAGCUAGUGAAAUCUGUUGGCUCAACCAUUCAGACUAUUAGCGAAACUGUCAAGCUCGAGACCGUUAGGGGUAACUGGAAUUUCUAGUGUAGGAGUGAAAUCCGUAGAUAUUACAAAGAACACCAAUAGCGAAGGCAGCUUACUAAGACGGUUCUGACACUAAUGCACGAAAGCGUAGGGAGCAAACGGGAUUAGAUACCCUAGUAGUC